AUGAAUUGGUGAUUAGAACACGUAUGGGUAGAACUUCUAAAAGGUUCUCGAAAAAGGGGUAAUUUUUUCUGGGCCUGUAUUCGUUUUCUAGGUUCGCUAGGAUUCUUAUCGGUUUCUAGUUAUCUUGGUAAGAAUAUUAUAUCUUUUUUGAACUUAGUUGAAUGA
rnacentral:rRNA from 1 species